rnacentral:rRNA from 1 species
UCUGGUGCCAGCAGCCGCGGUAAUUCCAGCUCCAAUAGCGUAUAUUAAAGUUGUUGCAGUUAAAAAGCUCGUAGUUGAACCUUGGGUCUGGCUGGCCGGUCCGCCUCACCGCGAGUACUGGUCCGGCUGGACCUUUCCUUCUGGGGAACCUCAUGGCCUUCACUGGCUGUGGGGGGAACCAGGACUUUUACUGUGAAAAAAUUAGAGUGUUCAAAGCAGGCCUUUGCUCGAAUACAUUAGCAUGGAAUAAUAGAAUAGGACGUGUGGUUCUAUUUUGUUGGUUUCUAGGACCGCCGUAAUGAUUAAUAGGGAUAGUCGGGGGCGUCAGUAUUCAGCUGUCAGAGGUGAAAUUCUUGGAUUUGCUGAAGACUAACUACUGCGAAAGCAUUCGCCAAGGAUGUUUUCAUUAAUCAGGGAACGAAAGUUAGGGGAUCGAAGACGAUCAGAUACCGUCGUAGUCUUAACCAUAAACUAUGCCGACUAGGGAUCGGACGGGAUUCUAUAAUGACCCGUUCGGCACCUUACGAGAAAUCAAAGUUUUUGGGUUCUGGGGGGAGUAUGGUCGCAAGGCUGAAACUUAAAAAUUAUGUAGACGG